GUGAAGAAGCAUGCGGAGACCCUCCCUCGGUACACACGCCCGAGCACCGCCCGGUUCACCUCAGCCGUGAGCGGGGACGGACCCAACGGUCGCUCGCUGCCUUCCUUCUUAAGCCAGUCUAUUAUCAUGAUACCGAAAGUCUGUGCAAGCGCAAAAACAGACGGCGGUACCAGAAAUAAGGGAGCAGCGAUGACAUGAGAUGGCAGCGAACACUUUUGGAGCGAUGCUGAAACCAAAUAUGUGCUUGAUGAAAUGAAGGAUUUAAAUAUUCUUCAUCUUCUGAAGAUAUGUGCUUAUAUUUUCAGAUUUCUCAGUCUGCGCAUGAGUGACAACAAGCUGCAGAACUGGAAAAGCCAAGCAGCGAUUAACACAGCACCCACAAGAUGGCAUCAAAACACUUCUACCGUGACGCUGAAAACAACUACAUGCUUGCCGAAAUGAGGAAUUUAAAGACUCUUCAUCUUCUAGAUAGCACAUGUUUAUAUUUUCAGGUUAAGUAGCUCAAUGAUUAAAAAUAAAAGCCGCGGCAUGAAGUUUGAGUU